AACGCACCUUGCACUCUCUGGGUCUACUGGAGAGUAUACCUGUUUGAGUAUCAGAAAGUACUCUACUCUGGGGAGUAGGCAUUGAGGUCCAGCUGAGGCUGUUCCUCUAAAAGGAGGGAGUGGUAGGUUCGACGACCAGUGCGGUAGGAAUAGGCAGUAUUCUCCCACGAGUCGCCGGGCGGAGCUCUUUUUUUUUGGACUAUGAUCUCAAAUCAGGUAGGAUUACCCGCUGAACUUAA
rnacentral:misc_RNA from 1 species